rnacentral:misc_RNA from 1 species
UGAAAGGUGCUGUCGAGGAAGGUUCAGAAAAUCUGCUAAGAACAUCAGGGAGCUACCUAAGAGAAGACGUCGUUCCACCAGAGAGUCCUCUGAUCAUCUACACCGGUGGAAACGAAACAGUAGAAGAGUUUGCCAAUGCAUUGAAGCAAGUGUGUAGAUGAGGCACACAAAAAUGGUAUACUUAUACUCAUUCCUUAUAGAAGGAAUUAUAUAACAUACUAUAUACAACAAACCUUUUUUUCUCCUUUUCUCUUCCAUUUUUUUGAGCUUUUACUUUAAGGAAUGCAAUAAUGUGUUUCUCAAGCAUUUCUUGAUUACCAA